rnacentral:SRP_RNA from 1 species
UCUGGGUGCAGUGGCAUGCGUACCUGUAGUCCUGGCCACUUGGGAGACUGAGGCAGGAGGCUCACUUGAGCCCAGGAGUUCAGAGUUGUAGCCGAUUAGGUGUCUGCACUAAGCUUGCCAUCAAUAUAGUGACCUCCUGGGAGUGGAGGACGACAGGUUCCCUAAGGAGGGGUGAACUGGUCCAGGCUGGAAACAAGGGAAUGUUAAAAAUACCAUGGGCACGGUAGCUCACACCUGUAAUCCUAGCACUUUGGGAGGCUGCGGCAGGAGAAUCAAUUGAGCCCAGGAGUUGGAGAUCAGCCUGGGUGAUGCAGUGAGACCCUGUCCCU